rnacentral:tRNA from 1 species
GUGUGGCCAAGUGGUUAAGGCGAUGGACUAGAUAUUCAUUGAGAUAAUCUCGCGUAGGUUCGUAUCCUACCGAAUACG